rnacentral:rRNA from 1 species
CCCAGACUCCUACGGGAGGCAGCAGUGGGGGAUAUUGGACAAUGGGGGAAACCCUGAUCCAGCGACGCCGCGUGAGUGAAGAAGUAUUUCGGUAUGUAAAGCUCUGUCAGCAGGGAAGAAAGAAAUGACGGUACCUGACCAAGAAGCCCCGGCUAACUACGUGCCAGCAGCCGCGGUAAUACGGAGGAUGCGAGCGUUAUCCGGAUUUAUUGGGUUUAAAGGGUGCGCAGGCGGAAUGUCAAGUCAGCGGUAAAAUUUCGGGGCUCAACCCCGUCGUGCCGUUGAAACUGGCGUUCUUGAGUGAGCGAGAAGUAUGCGGAAUGCGUGGUGUAGCGGUGAAAUGCAUAGAUAUCACGCAGAACUCCGAUUGCGAAGGCAGCAUACCGGCGCUCAACUGACGCUGAUGCACGAAAGCGUGGGUAUCGAACAGGAUUAGAUACCCGAGUA